rnacentral:rRNA from 1 species
GAUGAACGCUGGCGGCGUGCCUAAUACAUGCAAGUCGAGCGAACAGACGAGGAGCUUGCUCCUCUGACGUUAGCGGCGGACGGGUGAGUAACACGUGGAUAACCUACCUAUAAGACUGGGAUAACUUCGGGAAACCGGAGCUAAUACCGGAUAAUAUAUUGAACCGCAUGGUUCAAUAGUGAAAGACGGUUUUGCUGUCACUUAUAGAUGGAUCCGCGCCGCAUUAGCUAGUUGGUAAGGUAACGGCUUACCAAGGCAACGAUGCGUAGCCGACCUGAGAGGGUGAACGGCCACACGGGAACUGAGACACGGUCCAGACUCCUACGGGAGGCAGCAGUAGGGAAUCUUCCGCAAUGGGCGAAAGCCUGACGGAGCAACGCCGCGGGAGUGAUGAAGGUCUUCGGAUCGUAAAACUAUGUUAUUAGGGAAGAACAAAUGUGUAAGUAACUAGGCACGUCUUGACGGUACCUAAUCAGAAAGCCACGGCUAACUACGUG